rfam:Bacillus galactosidilyticus strain PL133 scaffold000117, whole genome shotgun sequence.
UUAUACCACUAGGGGAGUCUUAUCAAGACUGAGACACAUAUAAAAGAGAUGUGGACCCUUGGAACCUGAUCUGGUUAAUACCAGCGUAGGGAAGUGGGGGCGCUUUUCU